UACGUAGGGGGCAAGCGUUGUCCGGAAUUAUUGGGCGUAAAGCGCGUGUAGGCGGCUCGAUAAGUCUGCUGUGAAAGUCCAAGGCUCAACCUUGGAAUGCCGGUGGAUACUGUCGAGCUCGAGUCCGGAAGAGGCGAGUGGAAUUCCUGGUGUAGCGGUGAAAUGCGCAGAUAUCAGGAGGAACACCGGUGGCGAAGGCGGGUCUCUGGGCCGAUACUGACGCUGAGGAGCGAAAGCGUGGGGAGCAAACCGG
rnacentral:rRNA from 1 species